rnacentral:rRNA from 1 species
GGAGGGGGCGAGCGUUAUUCGGAAUUAUUGGGCGUAAAGGGCGCGUAGGCGGCCCGGUAAGUCAAAGGUGAAAUCCCUCGGCUCAACUGAGGAACUGCCUUUGAAACUGUCGGGCUUGAGGCCGGGAGGGGGUAGCGGAAUUCCCAGUGUAGCGGUGAAAUGCGUAGAUAUUGGGAGGAACACCGGUGGCGAAGGCGGCUACCUGGACCGGUUCUGACGCUGAUGCGCGAAAGCGUGGGUAGCAAACAGGAUUAGAUACCCUGGUAGUCCACGCUGUAAACGAUGGGUGCUCGGUGUCGCGGGUAUCGACCCCUGCGGUGCCUUAGCUAACGCGUUAAGCACCCCGCCUGGGGAGUACGGUCGCAAGGCUGAA